rfam:TPA: Bos taurus chromosome 12, whole genome shotgun sequence.
UCCCUGGUGGUCCAGUGGCUAAGGCUCUGUACUUCCAGUGCAGAGGGUCUAGGUUUGAUCCCUGAUCGGGGAA